GGUGAGGUUUUCCUUCUAGUCAUUUUGCUCAGUGCAGAGUGGCCAAAUACAAGUUGUAUUGGGAAAAGGAGAAAAAGAGAGAGAGAGAAGGAAAGAAAAGAGAAAAAGAAAAAAGAGAAAAGGAAGAAAAAAAGGAAAAAGGAGAAGAAAAAGAGAAAGAAAAAGAAAGGUGAAAAAAAAGGGUGGGGGAAGCAAUCAGAAAUCAAAAAGAAAAAAGAAAAAAAAAGAAACACGGAGGAGUAUCUUCUGAUUCUGUAUACUUUAAGUCUCUUGACUUCCCCUGGACCUUGUCCCUCUAGCUGGUCUUCUGAGGGAGGGGCCUGUUGUGCUGAUUUUCAGGUGUUAGCACUUGGGGGAGCCGCUCUGCCCCUGCCUGGUGCAGGGCUCAGUGGGGGUUGUUUACCCCGUGAGGCUGCAGGAGGAACAACCCCAGUGGCGGGGCCAGCUCUGGAGCCCUGGAUUCAGCUCCCGCAGGAACUCCGGAGCUCUCUGUCUGCAGGGCCUGGAUGCUCCGGGGCGGGGCCGCUGAUCUGCUCAGCUCCGGCAGGAGCGUCCUUGCUGUCCUGGGCCCUCCCGGCCUCUGCCUGUCCCCGGGGGAGGCCGGAUCCUGGGCUGUGUCCCAGCGUCCUGUGCUCUGGGACCUGCGCUGUUGGAUUCGCGCUCCCGCCCCGCAACCCCCUCCGCGGAGCCGCCCCCGAGCCCCUCCGAGCUGCUCCGGGUCCCGCCGUGCGCGCUGCAGCCCUUAGGGAGCUCGGCGCACUGUCCCGUGGCGCAGGUGUCUGUUACUGUCCCAGGGAGCCCGAGGGCAUCCCCGCCCUCCUGGGUCCUGCUCCAGCUCCCUGCGGGCCCCUUUCCGCCCGGGAAGGUUGGUGCAGCUCCUGCUUCUCCGGGACGGGGCUCUCCUGUCCUGGGGACCCUCGCCCCGGCCUCAUCCCGGCUCCUCGCGGGGCCCCUCCCCCUUGGAGGCCUUUUGUUUCUUUAUUUCUUUUUCCCAGUCUCCCUACCUUGAUAGAAGCGCGAACUCUUCUCAGUGUAGCAGUCCAGCUGGUCUCUGUUUAUAUCUCAGGCCGAAUUCGUAGAUUUUCAGGAUGA
rnacentral:lncRNA from 12 species